rnacentral:lncRNA from 1 species
CUGACCAUUGCAGUUCCCCAUCGCAACUCCCUCAAUGCCUCUUGUAAUCCUUCUUUUGAACGUCUGGCUUGACAGGUGGACUACAGCUCCAUGAGAGGAGGCACUGACCCCUGUUGUGGAUGGCGUCCACAACAGGCUUUAGGAAGGGAUGCUCCAAGAAAGAAAUGCAGAGAAUGAUUUUUACCACAAAGAGGAAGAGAAGUUCUUGAGAGAGCCAGAGGAAGGAGCUGACUUUGGAGAAAGGCAAUGUCUUUUGUUUGAGAGGUGUUGGAUUUGACAGGCCAUCGUUCUUCUAUUCAUACGGAGAUGUUCAGAUGAAAAUGGAGAAGUCAGACUAAAAUUUAAGAAAGAGCCCAGGAUAGGAGAUAAAAUUAGGCCAAGUCUUCCACAUGGGUAGGACCAAUAAAGCCCAGGAAGCUAACAAGACAUCUGAGCAUAGAGUAUAGACAGAGAUUAGGACAAGGAACGAGGCAGCCGAGUCCACCUGUGUUUACAGGCUAGGAGGUGGAAGGUGGGAUAGUGUUCCAAGGAAGAGGAAAGUUCCAAGGGAGAGAGUUAUAAACAGCAUCUGACUGGAAGCAGAGACGGAUGGGGUGAGAAACUACUUCUGCAUCCCACAGCAGAAUUGGUCUAGUGAAGGGUGUAGGAAGGAGGCCCAGUGCAAAGCUGGUGAGUAGAAGAUGUUACUGGGCAAUGCUGAAGUUUUGGAACACCAGUAGAAAAGGGAAGGAGCAUGGUGUAGAUCAGCAGUAGGGAACAAUAACACAGUAACAUCAAAAGAAAAAAAUUGGGGAAAGGAGAAAAUCUGGAGUGAUUUGGAGGUCCAAAGAAAGGUAUUAUGGUUUGGAGAUGAGGUAUCCUGCACAGAGCUCAUGUUAGUCAAUGUGGGAAUGUCUAGAGGUGAAAUGAUCAGAUUCUGAGAGCUGUAAUAAUCAGUGGGUUAGGCACAUGAUGGAUUAAUAAUUUGAAUGAAUUACUGGCUGGUAACUAUAGGUAGGUGUGAUGUGGCUGGAGGAAUUAAGUAACCAGGAACAUGCUCUUGGGGAUUAUAUAUCUUGUCCUUGGGUCCUCUGCUUCCUGGCUGCCAUGAACUGAGCUGCUUCCCUCUGCCAUGCCCUUCUGUCUUAUCUGGGACCCAGAACAAUGGUGUUGACAGACCAGGAACUGAACUUCUGAAACUGUGAGUCCAGAAUAAACUUCUCCUCUUUUAAAUUGUUCCUGUCCAAUGUUUCAGUCGCAGUGUCAAAAAGUGGACAAACACAAAAGAACUCAACAAAGAAGACAUUGACCAAGUAAAAAAAGAUUGUGAUACUUAAUGACGUAGAAGAUAAGAGAAAAAGUAGAAGCCAAGGGUGUCUCAACUUUUGCCCUACUUAGUUUACAGUGAAAAGCUAUUGGUUGUAACUCAGCGGAGAACCUGUCUGGUCCUGAGCUUUGUGUUUUGGGUAGGAUUUUGAUGGCGUCUUUAGUUUUGUUGCUUGAAAUUAAACUGUUUCAAUUUUCUAUGUCCUUCUGACUCAAUUUGGGUAGGCCAUAUAACUCUAGAAAUUUGUCGAUGUCUUCAAGAUUUUCUACUUUAUUACAGCAUAAAUUUUCAAGAUAGGUUCUGA